GAAAUGCAUUCUACUGGGUGUGCAUUCUUUACGUCAUGAAGGACACAAUCUAACAGAAUGCAAAAAUAGAAGCAAGUACAGGUAGAGCAUGGUGGCUCACGCCUACAAUCCCAGCACUUUGGGAAGCCGAGGUGGGAGGAUGGCUUGAAAGUUCGAGACCAGCCUGGGCAACAAAGUGAGAGUCCGUCUCUACACAAAAGCAAAAAGUUAGCCAGAUGUGAUGGCAUAUGCCUUUGGACCUGUGGUCCCAGCUACAUAAGAGACUGAGGCAGAAGGAUCACUUGAGCCCAGAAGUUUGAGACCAGCCUGUGCAACAGAGUGAGGGCCCAUCUCAAAAAAAAAAAAAAAGAAGGAAAGAAGGAGGGAAGGAAGGGAGAGAGAGAAAGAAAAAGAGAGAGAAAGAAAGAAAGAAAAUAAAGAAAGAAAAGAAAAGGAAAGAAAAGAAAAGAAAAGGUAAGUAUAGUGCCUGGUGUCCAGUGGAACCAGCGAGAUGAUGGGCUGGACUAGAACUUAUGACAGAAGUUCACAGGUGUGGAGGAUAAAUGGGAAAGACAGCUAUGAAAAGCCUUGAUGAGCAAGGAGAGUUCUUCUAAUUGAACCCAAGGAUACAGGACAGCCACCGUGGGUCCCUUGGCAGUGGCUUGCUUCUCCAGACACGCCUUCCCAGGGCCAGUUCAGAGCAGGCUGGAUGGACAGUGUGGUGUCUACCCUUGAUGUGUAGUCGAACUUACUCAGUGAUGCUUCCUGCUGCAUGUAGAUGCCUACAGCUGGUGGUGUUCCAAGGUGAGAAGGUGGGAGGGGAGCCAGAUACAUGGCUUGCUAUAGGUGCAGACAGUAGAGGUUUAUAAGCAAUAAUAAAACCAAAUAAAAGGUAAUUCACUUUUUAUGAAAAGCCUAUGAACUGGCAAUUGCCCACAAAUGGGCAAUUCUACAUAAUGGCUGUGAUAAAACACCUUCCUCGCAAAGUAGUUUUUGGGUUUAAAUUCUAAACAAUUUCUGUGAGUUUUAGCUAAAUACAUGUAUGCUUCAAAUUAGCAAAUUGUAUUACUUAUCCGUUGAUAUGCAUUGUUCUCUACAUGAAAGCGAAUUUUGGAACUCCCUGUUAGUCAUACUGUCUCCUAAUACACACAGACUCACCUGCACAGUCUCAGUGGCACCAGGAUAAGUCCAGAAAGGACAGAGUUUCCACCAAGGCAGUUGUUUGUCCACCUCCUGGGUACUAUAUAUGUCUGCCUUUACAUAAUGCAUUUGAAACAAAGAGAAAACAAUGAUUGUAAAGAUAAAGAAAUAGAACUUCAGUUGCUUCAAUACUGCCAUUCCACGUAGCCACUUGUAGUUUUUAUUUGUAUUUUAAAAAAUGUAGUAGUGAAACAGAGCAUGCACUUCAAGGUAUGGUAUUUUUUAAACUUUUUUAGAAUGGAGGUGAAAUUUAUAGAACAUAAAAAUAACAGUUUUAAAGUGUACAUUCCGUGGCAUUUAGUAAAUUCACAAUGUUGUACAACCAUCACCUCUGUCUAGUUCCAAAACUUUUCAUCAUUCCCAAAGAAGAUUCCAUGCCCAUUAUGCAGUCACUCCCUGUUCACCCCCAUUUUUGGUUGCAAGUACAAAUUUUAGUUCACACAUGAAAUUUUUUACCAAUUUUUAAAUGCAUAUAUAUAUAUAUAUGUAUGUAUGUAUGUAUGUAUGUAUGUAUUUUUGUUCUUUUUUUUUUUUUUGAGACGGUGUUUCUUUCUUGUUGCCCAGGCUGGAGUGCAAUGGUGCCAUCUCAGCUCACUGCAACCUCUGCCUCCCAGGUUCCAGAGAUUCUCGUGCCUCAGCCUCCUGAGUAACUGGGAUUAC
rnacentral:lncRNA from 10 species